rnacentral:lncRNA from 14 species
GUUGGAAAUGUGACACUCCAGGGAAGUCUUGGAUGCAGUGAUCACGAGAUGGUUGAAUUCGAAGUCCUCAAGACAGUGAGAAGAGCAUGCAGCAAGCUCACUGCCCUGGACUUCAAGAGAGCAGACUUUGGCCUCUCCAGGAACCUGCUUAGCAAGGUUCCAUGGGAUAUAGCCCUAGAGGGCAGGGGGGCCCAAGACUUUUGGUUAAUAUUCAAGGAUCACCUGCUACAAGCUCAGGAGUGUUGCAUCCCGACUAGAAGGAAGUGCAGCAGGAGGGCCAGGAAACCCCCUUGGAUGGAUAAGGAGCUGCUGAGAAAAAUUUACAGGAAGAAAAGAGGCUUAUAAAAGGUGGAAGCAAGGACAGGUGGCCUGGAAUGAAUGAGGAACCUCCCCCCCGAGCCGAUCACCGCCUUCCAUCCAGCACCUUGGGCUUGCUCUUAGCACAGGCCUUCCGGAGCACCCUCAAGGCCUCUGCUAUGGCCAUGCCCUGCGUCACUUACACGCCACAGCCACAACUACUGCAAGCGGAAGGAGCUGGAGAUUGGCACCGCCCCCACCCGCUCCAAUCCACUCAGCAAAGCAGUGGCUACAUGACACACGGAAGGACUCAGCACAGAAGGCAGACGUGGGAGCUGGAGAAUGGCCGCCUGGCCUGGGAGCUCAGCUGCCCCAGGGAGCCAUCACUGGAGCCAAGGACAAGCCCUACUGUAGCAGAAGUGAUUUCAACCAGACUCCACAUGGAUGAGACCCUGCAGAGCUCAGUCCCUCCUUGCAGAAGACAUUGUCGUACAGGACCUAAUGAUCUUGAACAGCUGGGAGUAACUGGAAACACCACAACACUGUCCAGACCAACAGUGUCUUCUGCCUGGAGAACCUACAAACAGGAUCAACAGCAUCUAGUGAUGUAUCCAUCAACUGUGACAUAA